rnacentral:lncRNA from 1 species
AGAAUAUGUCUAUUUCUAUAGUAAACAUGGAUUAAUAUUUGAAGUGUCUAGAGGAUCAGUACACGAACAGAUAUCAAAAACACUUCCUCAAAAAAGUUGUGCUCUCUCUUGCUUAUGAAGACCCCUUGAGAAUGGAACUUACUGACUUAGCUAUGUGCUUCUCUGCUCUUACAGCAGAUGUGCGUUGUGUCUUCUUGAAACACAGAGAAACUCCCAUAGUCCAGGCAAAUAAUGAAACUCUCAGUUUUGUCCUAAUCAUCUUCCUCAUAUUUUGUUUUAUGUUUCUUUCUCUACAUUGUUUGUGCCACUAUGAACAGCUUUAUCCUGCCUCUACUGUCCUGACAGAAACAAUUACUAUGGUACUGGCAUUCAAGAUCACUGUGCAAGAAUUAAGAAUGAGGGGGCUACUAUUGUCAGGUGAAUCUACCUACAUCGUUCUCAUAUGUAUCACAAUCCAACUGAUACUUUGUGGAAUCUAGGUUGGAAUUUCUCAAUUUGUUGAUGCUGUUCAUGUAGUACGUGACCACAUCAUCAUUGUUUAAAAAAAAAAUUGAGUGAUUGUUUUCUAUCGUGUCCUAGGAUACAUGGGCUCUGCUGCAGCAUCCAGUUUUACUGUAGUUUCCUGGCCAGGAAUUUGUCUUCCUUAUGCAUUCAGUUAAAUCAAGCCCUGACAUUCAGCAUACUGAUUUUCUGCAGUGUCUGGAUCAAUUUUCUUCCUGUCUGCCACAGCACCAAGGACAAAGCAAUGGUUGCUGUGGAGGUCUUCUGUUUCUUCGCCUCUAGUGCAAGACUACUACUUUGUGACUUUGCCUCAAAGUGCUACAUUAUUUUAUUAAGUCAACAAAAAAUUCUUUUUACAAGUAUAGGAAACCACAUUCUAAAAUUUCAGUUAUUAAU